AGCAGCCGCGGUAAUUCCAGCUCCAAUAGCGUAUAUUAAAGUUGUUGCAGUUAAAAAGCUCGUAGUUGAACUUCAGGCCUGUCCAGAUGGUCCGCCUUAAUUGGUGUGUACUGUCCUUGGGUGGGUCCUACCUUCUGGCGAAGCGGCAUGGCCUUAAUUGGUUGUGUCGGGGAACCAGGACUUUUACUGUGAAAAAUUAGAGUGUUCAAAGCAGGCAAAUAUGCUCGAAUACAUUAGCAUGGAAUAAUGGAAUAGGACGAUGGUUCUAUUUUGUUGGUUCUAGGACCGUUGUAAUGAUUAAUAGGGAUAGUUGGGGGCAUUAGUAUUCAAUUGUCAGAGGUGAAAUUCUUGGAUUUAUUGAAGACUAACUACUGCGAAAGCAUUUGCCAAGGAUGUUUUCAUUAAUCAAGAACGAAAGUUAGGGGAUCGAAGACGAUCAGAUACCGUCGUAGUCUUAACCAUAAACUAUGCCGACUAGGAUCGGGCGAUGUUGACAAAAUGACUCGCUCGGCUA
rnacentral:misc_RNA from 2 species